UAACACACUGAGUCUUAUAAGAUGACUGUCUAAUUUAUCUAUGGUUAUAUUUUCGAAUAUAAAUAGUUUCUGUGUUAAUAAAAUUAUGUAAUUAAGAGAAUGCAACUGGAAAUGAAUAUUGAUUUGUUGAUUUAUUGAUUUUAUAAUUAGUAUACAUUGAUUUAAAUUAUAUAAUUUCUAUAAACUACAUUUUAAUUUUAUCUUAUUAAUUUAUAAAAUUAAUACCUGUACAUAAUAAUAAGUCGAUUUGACACUUUUUUUAAUAUAUUACAAAAUAUGUCUAUUAAAUAUUAUGCGAUAGCAAGAGGUCGUACAUCUGGUAUUUAUAUUUGAUUACAAAAUAAUCAAGGGACUGAUAAUAAAAAAUCAUUGCAAAAACAAGAACAAAUGAAUUUAGAACAUUCAAAGAUUAUACAUAUUAAAAACGAGGAAAUAAAUGGAGAUUUCAACAAUGAUAAUGAUGAUUGUGUUUUUAAAUGAGCGUAAAAAUAGACAAGCAAGUAUAGGUAUUUGGUUUGGCAAUAAUCAUCCUCUGUAUGUUAUAUUUUUUAAUUAUUUUCAAUAUUUAAUUCAAUAUGAAAGAUCUAUUUAUAAAUUUCAAUUACAAUAAUAUAGCAGUUGUUGAAAAAACAACUAACAAUAUAGCAGAAAUUCAAGCAGUAACAAUAGCAGCUAAACAAGCAAAAAAGGCAGGUAUUAAAAAUUUAAAAAUUAAUAUAGAUUCACAAUUUCUUAUUUCUUGUAUAAAUAAUUGGAUGGCAAAAUGGAAAUGUAAUGGAUGGAAAACUUUUAAUAAUAAACCUGUAAUAAAUAAAAUUGAGUUAUUAGAAAUGAAAAA